rnacentral:lncRNA from 1 species
CUUACAACAGCCUACAUAGGCUAGGUUGUGAGAUUUGUAUUGGUAGCUCGAUCGAUUCACUUCCAAAAGAAAGAUCCAACGCACGCCGUAGCUCGGGGGAGAGAAGAACACCAGUAGCUCCACGAUGAGGAAGGCCGCAGUGGUGGCCAUGCUGUUGGUUCUCAUGGUCACGUCGGGCUCGGGCACCCGUGCCGCGGCGCGGGCGUUGCCGGGAGAACAGCCGGCCUCCCCAGGCGGCUCCACAAACAAUGCGUCGCCACCGCCGAGGUCGUCGUCGUCGGUGCAUGGGCGUGGCCUGCGCAGGCUGCUGCCGGUGGAGGAGAACAAGUCAGGAGCAGGUCAUUCCUGUGGAAGUAAUGACAAAAAUAUCGGAUGUCCGUAGGUCCUGCAUGGAGUCGACGCAGAAGUCUCUACUUACGUAAUAGUACUAUCAAUCUCCCGCUUGUAAUGGUUCUUUAAUUCUUACCUCUGAUUCGACCUUUUAUUUUGUUAUUUCUUAGUUCUGUAAUUGCUAUAUAGUCCUAGCUAGUUGCAUAUGUAGGUACAAUAAUAUGUGUACAGCAAAUGGGCAAUAGCCUGGUUGGCUAGCUCAUUGUAGAGUGGAGCUAGCAACCACAGUCGAAUCCCUAUUUGCAUAGGUAUUAAGGUGCCAUCAAAUAUGAUCGGGUCGCGAGCUAGACCCCUAUAGUCGUUUUUAUGUACAGCAGAGCUACCAGUUCUAAGCUUUGUACCCUGAUGGGUUUAUAAUUGCUUGAAUAAAUAAUAAGUAGCUUCAAUU